rnacentral:rRNA from 1 species
CGAAUGGUAACAGGAAACAGCUUGCUGUUUCGCUGACGAGUGGCGGACGGGUGAGUAAUGUCUGGGAAACUGCCUGAUGGAGGGGGAUAACUACUGGAAACGGUAGCUAAUACCGCAUAACGUCGCAAGACCAAAGAGGGGGACCUUCGGGCCUCUUGCCAUCAGAUGUGCCCAGAUGGGAUUAGCUAGUAGGUGGGGUAACGGCUCACCUAGGCGACGAUCCCUAGCUGGUCUGAGAGGAUGACCAGCCACACUGGAACUGAGACACGGUCCAGACUCCUACGGGAGGCAGCAGUGGGGAAUAUUGCACAAUGGGCGCAAGCCUGAUGCAGCCAUGCCGCGUGUAUGAAGAAGGCCUUCGGGUUGUAAAGUACUUUCAGCGGGGAGGAAGGGAGUAAAGUUAAUACCUUUGCUCAUUGACGUUACCCGCAGAAGAAGCACCGGCUAACUCCGUGCCAGCAGCCGCGGUAAUACGGAGGGUGCAAGCGUUAAUCGGAAUUACUGGGCGUAAAGCGCACGCAGGCGGUUUGUUAAGUCAGAUGUGAAAUCCCCGGGCUCAACCUGGGAACUGCAUCUGAUACUGGCAAGCUUGAGUCUCGUAGAGGGGGGUAGAAUUCCAGGUGUAGCGGUGAAAUGCGUAGAGAUCUGGAGGA